AGAGUUUGAUCCUGGCUCAGAAUCAACGCUGGCGGCGCGCCUAACACAUGCAAGUCGAACGAGAAAGCGGGGGCAACCUCGUGAGUAAAGUGGCGUACGGGUGAGUAACACGUGGAUUAUCUACCCUUUUGUGGGGGAUAACCCUGGGAAACCGGGGCUAAUACCGCAUAAGUCCGAGAGGAGAAAGCAGCAAUGCGCAGGAGGAGGAGUCCGCGGCCGAUUAGCUAGUUGGUAGGGUAAAAGCCUACCAAGGCUCCGAUCGGUAGCCGGCCUGAGAGGGCACACGGCCACACUGGCACUGAAACACGGGCCAGACUCCUACGGGAGGCAGCAGUGGGGAAUCUUGCACAAUGGGGGCAACCCUGAUGCAGCGACGCCGCGUGAGCGAUGAAGCCCUUCGGGGUGUAAAGCUCUUU
rnacentral:rRNA from 1 species